rnacentral:rRNA from 1 species
AUGACACGAGUCCUAAUGGACGGUGGUAGCAGCCUCAACCUGCUCUAUCAGGAUACAGUACGCAAAAUGGGCAUUAAUCCCUCACGAAUCAAGCCCACGAUAACUACCUUUAAAGGAGUUAUACCAGGCGUAGAGGCCCGUUGUACGGGCUCAAUCACGCUGGAGGUGGUCUUCGGUUCCCCGGAUAACUUCCGAAGCAAAGAGCUAAUCUUUGAUAUUGUCUCCUUCCGGAGCGGCCACCACACACUGCUCGGACGAACCGUGUUUGCCAGAUUCAACGCGGUGCCACAUUAUGCUUAUCUCAAGCUCAAGAUGCCCGGUCCACGCGGCGUCAUUACAGUAAAUGGAAACACGGAAUGUUCCCUCCGUACAGAGGAGCAUACCGCAGCCCUUGCAGCAGAAGUACAGAGCGGCCUUCUCAAGCGGCACCAUAAGCCGGCCGCUGAGCCCCUGGACAUCGUUAAGAAGGUCCGGACUACACUGCAACAGGGCAUCUCGGUUCGUCAAGAGCUGAAUUAG